rnacentral:rRNA from 1 species
UACAGAGGUCCCGAGCGUUGUUCGGAUUCACUGGGCGUAAAGGGUGCGUAGGUGGUGAGGUAAGUCGGAUGUGAAAUCUCCGGGCUCAACCCGGAAAUGGCAUUGGAAACUACCUUGCUGGAGGGAUUUGAGGGGGGAUUGGAAUACUUGGUGUAGCAGUGAAAUGCGUAGAUAUCAAGUGGAACACCGAUGGCGAAGGCAGGUCACUGGGCCGCAACUGACGCUGGAGGAGCGGAAAGCAUGGGGAGCGAACAGG